rnacentral:rRNA from 1 species
AAAUUGAAGAGUUUGAUCAUGGCUCAGAUUGAACGCUGGCGGCAGGCCUAACACAUGCAAGUCGAACGGUAACAGGAAGCAGCUUGCUGCUUUGCUGACGAGUGGCGGACGGGUGAGUAAUGUCUGGGAAACUGCCUGAUGGAGGGGGAUAACUACUGGAAACGGUGGCUAAUACCGCAUAACGUCGCAAGACCAAAGAGGGGGACCUUCGGGCCUCUUGCCAUCAGAUGUGCCCAGAUGGGAUUAGCUUGUUGGUGAGGUAACGGCUCACCAAGGCGACGAUCCCUAGCUGGUCUGAGAGGAUGACCAGCCACACUGGAACUGAGACACGGUCCAGACUCCUACGGGAGGCAGCAGUGGGGAAUAUUGCACAAUGGGCGCAAGCCUGAUGCAGCCAUGCCGCGUGUAUGAAGAAGGCCUUCGGGUUGUAAAGUACUUUCAGCGGGGAGGAAGGGAGUAAGGUUAAUAACCUUAUUCAUUGACGUUACCCGCAGAAGAAGCACCGGCUAACUCCGUGCCAGCAGCCGCGGUAAUACGGAGGGUGCAAGCGUUAAUCGGAAUUACUGGGCGUAAAGCGCACGCAGGCGGUCUGUCAAGUCGGAUGUGAAAUCCCCGGGCUCAACCUG